UACGCAGGUGGCAAGCGUUGUCCGGAAUUAUUGGGCGUAAAGCGCGCGCAGGCGGUCCUUUAAGUCUGAUGUGAAAGCCCACGGCUCAACCGUGGAGGGUCAUUGGAAACUGGGGGACUUGAGUGCAGAAGAGGAAAGCGGAAUUCCACGUGUAGCGGUGAAAUGCGUAGAGAUGUGGAGGAACACCAGUGGCGAAGGCGGCUUUCUGGUCUGUAACUGACGCUGAGGCGCGAAAGCGUGGGGAGCAAACAGG
rnacentral:rRNA from 1 species